UGCUCUUAUUUUCUUUCUAAUAAGAAGUAAUAUUUAGGGUGACUUGUAAUACGUAGGUUACUGUGAGGCUUAUUGUGCCAUUAUGUGAAGUUCAUAUAGGAAUUUCUUAUAUCAUGAUUAAAGGUGUGCUGCACUCCACAAACUGAUGUGCUCCAGUAAUUAGAUAUAUUAGGUAAAGCAUAGAAGACAAGCAUUAUAGAAAACUGAAAAUUGUAAGCAUUUGUGAAUUAUAGAAUUGUAGAUAAAUCUUUGUUGCAAACUAUCUUGUAAAGCCACAAACUGAAAUCUGUUGUGAAGUUUAAUUAGUGAAUUACAGAUGAAUUUGUGUUGAAAAGCAAUCUAUUGCUACAGGUUAGUUCAUAAGCAAUUUUUAUUACAUUUAUGGCACCAAGUAAGGCAUGGAUGGAUCUAGUUGAUGAUCGGCUUAGUGCUGAAUGUUGGGAUGCUAUGUCAUCAAAAAAGGAUAUUUAUCUGAAUGGGGUAAACAAGUUCUUGGAUUAUGCAUUCAGUAGGACUGGUGAUGGAGGUAAAAUUAGGUGUCCCUGUAUAAAGUGUUGCAAUACAUACAACUUGUCUCGUGAGGUUGUGUAUUCACAUCUGAUGGCUUAUGGAAUCAUAAGAAGCUACACCUUUUGGUAUCAUCAUGGGGAAAUUUUGGGAGAAGAUGAGAAUGAUUUAGAAGUGGAAGAUGACGAUGAAUCUGCUGAUGGAAUGCAGGAGCUGAUGGAGGAUCUAUUCCCUCAGAAUAACCUCCCCGGAAGUGACACAAUGGCAGACCCAUCUUCUAGUGAUUUUUUUGAAGAGCAACCAAAUGGGGAAGCUAUGAAGUUUUAUAAUUUGCUUAGUGACUUGAACAAACCUCUUUAUCAUGGAUCCAAUACCACUAAAUUAUCUGCGCUUGUAAAGUUACUUAAUGUUAAGAAUAUGGGAAAGUGGAGUAAUAAGUCCUUCACAGAUUUACUAGAUACACUUCUGAAGGACUUUUUACCUAAUAACUCUACUUUGCCAAGCUCUUACUAUGAUGCAAAAAAGACUAUUAAUGAACUAGGGCUUAGUUACAAAAAAAUUGAUGCUUGUAAGAAUGAUUGUAUGUUGUAUUGGAAAGAAGAAGCAAUGGCUGAUUUUUGCAAGAUAUGUGGAAGGUCAAGAUGGAAGCAAGACAAGCAUUCAGGUGAAAACAAGCAGUCAGGAAAAGGGAAAAAAAUCCCUGAAAAAACAUUACGUUAUUUCCCUCUGAAACCAAGGCUACAACGAUUGUACAUGUCUCGAAGAAUAGCCACUUUCUUGACAUGGCAUAGUGAUGGUAGAGUGGACGAUGGAGUGAUGCGGCAUCCAGCAGAUUCCAAAGCAUGGAAGAAUUUUGAUGAGCUGCACCCUUCUUUUGCAUCUGACCCUCGUAAUAUCAGGCUAUGCCUUGCUGCUGAUGGUUUCCAACCAUUUUCUAACAUCCGAUUAUCUCAUACCAUUUGGCCUAUAUUUCUCGUCCCCCUGAACUUACCUCCUUGGAUGUGUAUGAAGCAACAUAAUGUAAUCCUCUCCAUGUUGAUUCCCGGACGGGAAGAACCUGGGGAUGCGAUUGAUAUUUACCUACAACCAUUAAUUGAUGAAUUGAUUGAGCUUUGGGAGGAGGGUGUUGACACAUAUGAUUCAUCAAAAAAGAUAAAUUUUACUCUCAGAGCAGCCAUUCUUUGGACAGUCCAUGAUUUCCCAGCUUAUGCAAAUCUGUCAGGAUAUAGCACCAAGGGAAAGCUAGCCUGUCCAAUUUGCCACAAAGAAACUUGUUCGUUGUGGUUACCAAACGGUCGAAAAUUUUGUUACAUGGGUCAUAGACGCUUUCUGCCUAAAGGUCACCGAUGGAGAAAUGACAAAGCCUCAUUUGAUGGAACUAGAGAAGUACGUAGCCCAGCGGAACCCUUAACUGGAGAUGAAGUGCUGCAUCAAGUGGACGAUCUGGAGGGGAUUAUUUUGUCCAAGGAUAAGAGCAAGAAGACUAAGAUUUCACACGAUGAGAGGGGGGAUAAUUGGACUAAGAAGAGCAUAUUUUUUAAAUUUCCAUAUUUCAAAACACUUCUGCUGAGGCAUAAUUUAGAUGUGAUGCAUAUAGAGAAGAACAUAUGUGAUUGUAUUAUUGAAACUGUUUUUGGCAUAAAAGGCAAAACAAAGGAUAACAAUAAAUCUCGUCUUGAUUUGAAAGAAAUGAAUUUAAAGCCACAUUUGCAUCCUGUUGAAGAUGGUGGAAAAUAUGUUAUGCCACAGGCAGAUUAUGCUUUGUCUCAAAUGGAUAAGAAAUCAGUAUUACAUUUUUUAAGGAUUUGAAGGUUCCAGAUGGUUUUUCUUCCAAUAUUAGUAGACGUGUGAAUUUGAAGGAGGGGAAACUUUCAGGAACAAAGACCCAUGAUUGUCAUGUCAUAUUAAAUCAUAUACUCCCUUAUGCUCUGCGUGGAUUUUUACCAAAAAUAUUUAUGAGCCUUUACUUGAACUUUCUUAUUUUUUCGAGAACUGAACUCAAAGGCAUUAUCAGUUGAACUGUUACAACAACUGCAGCCUCUUAUAGCCACCACUUUAUGUAAAUUGGAAAAGGAAUUCCCACCCUCAUUUUUCGUUAGCAUGAUGCACUUGCCUAUUCAUUUAGCUUCUGAGGUUCUAAUUGGUGGACCUACAAUGUAUCGUUGGAUGUACCAGUUUGAGAGAUAUAUAAAAUUUCUGAAAUCUCUAGUUCAAAAUAUGGCUCACCCAGAGGCAUCCAUAGCAGAGGGUUAUAUUGCAUAUGAAUUUAUUAUGUUGUGUUCGAGGUACUUGGAUGAUGUAGAGACAGUACACAAUCGACCUGGACGAAUCAAUGAUGCAUCAAACUAUAAAAAGUUUUGUUUACCAAUAUUUUCUUGCAUGGGAAGGCCACUUGGUGCUCACAAGACUCGAGAUCUUGAGUUUCUUGAGUUACAACAGGCUCACAUAUAUGUUCUCAGGAAUUGCUACGAGGUGCAACCAUUUAUUAGUGAGUACAACAGCGGUGAGGGCUCUUCAUUGCUGCAAUUUACAUCCUCCUGGAACAAUAAGUUUAUUGAAUGGUUCAGGGAGAAGAUCCAUAAUUUGUAUGAACAUGAUACAAGUGAAAAAAAUGGAUGACCUUCUAUCGUUGUCUCGGGGCCCUUUGCAAAACACAACAUGUUUUGCAGGCUAUGACAUCAAUGGAUUCAGAUAUCGUAUAGAGAUUCGUGAUAGAAAUCGCUGCACACAAAAUAGUGGGGUGGCUGUUUUUUCAGAAGGGAAUACAACUGAUGACAAUGCUGAAUAUUAUGGUGUAUUAACAGAGAUAAUUGAGCUUCAGUUUCUUGGUGGAAGACGUGUGCCAUUAUUUCGUUGCAAGUGGGUUGACAUAUUCAAUAAAAAGAGAGGAAUAAAGAAGGACACAUAUGGACUUGUUAGUGUCAAUUUUAAGUGCCUCCUUCGAACAGAUGAGCCAUUUGUAUUAGCUAGCCAAGCUUCUCAAGUCUUUUUUGUUAAAGACAAUGUGAUCAAAGGAUGUCACUUGGUUGUCAAAAUGCAGCCACGUGACACAUAUGAUGUAGCCGACGUUUCAGAUGAUGAAGACAUUGAAGAUGAGGAUGCCAAUGCAGAGGAAGACACAUGAUGAAUAUCCUUCAACCACAUCCUUGAGUGGAAAUAGGAAAUAUUGUUAUGAAUUUUGUUUCCAUAUCUUAGGAUAUGAAAUCUGUGACCAUUGCAUCAAUAUUUGUUUUUAUAUUGACAGCUUAUGUAUGAACUAGUUUUUAUAGCCGUUUUUAUUGUCUCCUUGAGGUGCAGCCACGUGCCUCCUUAUAAUGCAGCUUAUGUAUGACCAUUGCAUCAAUAUUUUUGUAUCAACCACAUCCUUGCAUCAAUAGCCGUUUUAUAUUUCUAUCUUGCCAUUAAUCUGUUUUCUUGCUUCUAUUCACAGCUUACCAUUUUGUGCAUUUGUUAUCUAUGUAGGCUGUAGUAAUGCAAAGCAAGUAUGGAAAUGUGAGAUCCCCUCCAAGGUCACACUUCAUCAGCCCAGGAUUGCUUCGUCAACAACAUGUGAAAAGGUCCUAUCCAAACCCCAAUACAGACAUAGGAACAAACAAUGAGAGUUCGUCUAGAAAGCGAGCUAUGAAAGCUAUGGGCAAUGUUAACCAACCAAAAGUAGCAUAUGAUAAUUUAGAAGAUGAAUGUGUGAAUCUUGAAAGCAAAAAAUGGGGACUGAAGAUUAAUAGGGUCACUGGCGAGCCUAUGUAUGAUACAGAUGAUUAAAGUGAACAUGAUUCUGAAUAUGAAAGUGAGUACUCUGAAAAUGAGUACUCUGAAGAUGAAAACAUAGUGAAUAACAUGACAGCAGGGGAGAAGAACUUAUAUUUUCAAAAAAAAAAGAUUCCUGAAUAAGGAGAGACAUCCAAAGAAGUCAAAAUCCAUGAACCAGGAUGCUCCAACAAGCAGAAGGGAUUAUUUUGAAGAUAGGAGGGACUGUGCCAGAGCAUCUAAUGUUGAAGACUUAAUGAAUGCUACAAAAAAUGGUGUGCUUAAUUCACACAACAGAAGGGAUGAUUAUGAAGAAGGGAGAGACAGUGCUAGGGCACUCAAUUCUGAAAACUAUGAGGAGGGGAGGGACUGUACCAGGGCAUCCAAUGCCGAAAACAUUGUGAAUGCUACAAAAAAAGCUGAUAGAACUGAAGAGAAGAGGGGCCAUGGCAAAAACAAAUGUAAAAAACUUGCUAAACUAAAGCCUGGAGAAAAAAUUAAAGUAACGUUCUACAACAACCAUGCUCUUUGUACAACAUUCGCACGACACAUAGGUAGAAUCGUUCGUGAUCCUAGUAUUACCCCUGUGAGAGUAAAGAAGUGGACUGACAUUACUGAGACAUCUCUAAAACAUAUUUUUGUUGCAGUCAAGGACAAGUUUGAAAACAUGGAUGAAAACAUUGAAAUUGAUGUCUACAAAAAUGACAUCAUGGAGCAUGCUAGGUAUUUGUGGAACAAUUGGCGCGGUGACUUAAGUCGACACUAUGUCAAGCCGACAAAGAAUAUGCAACAAGCCAUUAAGAAUUGUCCGAAUGAUUUUGCACAAGCUGAUUGGGAGUGGUUAGUCAAAGAGCAUUUUUGCAGUAAGGAAUUCAUUGCAAAGAGCAAGAGAAAUUCUAGAAACCGAUCCCAUUUGUCAAUCCUUCAUCACAGUGGCAGCAAACCAUUCAGGAAAGUGAUUUAUGACAAUGGCGGCAAGGAUAAUAAUCCACCAGCUUUGGAUGCCUUAUUUUUUAUGACUCACACAAAGGGUGACAAUUUUAUUGAUUCUGAGUCCUCCAGCAAGCAUGCACAAAUUCAGGAACAAAUGUUUUCAGAUCCUUCUCUUUCCAAUGCACAACUUAUGGACAAGUGCUUCCCUUCAAAACGGCAGGACCAUAUCAUUGGAUAUGGUGGUGGAGUGAAAGCAAGACAUCUUUGAAGUCCAUCUGUUAGUAAGGCUGAAUUGUUAGAGAAGCUGAAACAGUCGGAGGAUGAGAAACGAGCAAUGCUUGAGGAGAACAGAGAGCUUCGAGAAGAAAAUCGGGCUACAAACAGUCGUGUAAGCCAAAUGGAAAAGGAGUGGGCAGAGUUGAAGAAACAAAUAAGUAGUAGUUAGCAUAGAAAUCUUGAUUUGAGUAGAGUUUGAGUGAUAUGAAUAUUUACAACUUUUAUACCAUUGGAUAAAUACGUGAUACUGGAUUUAUUAUAUGUAAUAAUCAGAUUACCACCGAUAUAUAUACAAGCUGCAAAUGGUUCAUUGGUGCAUCUCAAU